rnacentral:rRNA from 1 species
UACGUAGGGUGCAAGCGUUGUCCGGAAUUAUUGGGCGUAAAGAGCUUGUAGGCGGUUUGUCGCGUCUGCUGUGAAAUUUCGGGGCUCAACCCCGAACUUGCAGUGGGUACGGGCAGACUAGAGUGUGGUAGGGGAGACUGGAAUUCCUGGUGUAGCGGUGAAAUGCGCAGAUAUCAGGAGGAACACCGAUGGCGAAGGCAGGUCUCCUGGGCCACU